rnacentral:rRNA from 1 species
GCAUCGAUGAAGAACGCAGCGAAAUGCGAUACGUAAUAUGAAUUGCAGAUUUUGUGAAUCAUCGAAUCUUUGAACGCACAUUGCGCCCGUGGGUAUUCCCGCGGGCAUGCGUGUGUGAGCG